GACGAACGCUGGCGGCGUGCUUAACACAUGCAAGUCGAACGAUGAAGCCGGAGCUUGCUCUGGUGAAUUAGUGGCGAACGGGUGAGUAACACGUGAGUAACCUGCCCUUGACUCUGGGAUAACUGCGGGAAACUGUAGCUAAUACCGGAUACGACCCUCGGAGGCAUCUCCUGGGGGUGGAAAGAAUUUCGGUCAAGGAUGGACUCGCGGCCUAUCAGCUAGUUGGUGAGGUAAAGGCUGACCAAGGCGACGACGGGUAGCCGGCCUGAGAGGGUGCCCGGCCACACUGGGACUGAGACACGGCCCAGACUCCUACGGGAGGCAGCAGUGGGGAAUAUUGCACAAUGGGCGCAAGCCUGUUGCAGCAACGCCGCGUGAGGGAUGACGGCCUUCGGGUUGUAAACCUCUUUUAGCAGGGAAGAAGCGAAAGUGACGGUACCUGCAGAAAAAGCACCGGCUAACUACGUGCCAGCCGCCGCGGUAA
rnacentral:rRNA from 1 species